rnacentral:misc_RNA from 1 species
GACAAUGGCGGGUGGUGCAACCCUCCUCGCCCUCACUUCGAUCUUGCCAUGCCCAUGUUUCUCAAGAUCGCCGAGUACCGUGCCGGAAUAGUCCCCGUUGCUUAUCGCAGGGUGCCAUGCAGAAAGCAAGGAGGAAUCAGGUUCACGAUCAACGGCUUCAGUUAUUUCAACCUGGUAUUGAUCACCAACGUCGCAGGUGCAGGAGAUAUCGUGAAGGCGAGCGUGAAGGGCGCAAAUACUGGAUGGAUGACGAUGAGCCGUAACUGGGGUCAAAACUG